UAAGCGAAGUAAGGGCAGACGGUGGACACCUUGGCAGUUGGAAGCGAUGAAGGACGUGGCUAGCUGCGAUAAGCCUCGGGGAGCCGCUAAGCAGGCUUUGAUCCGGGGAUCUCCGAAUGGGAGUACCCGCCAUGGUGAAGCCAUGGCAGGGCGCGUUGAAACCGAAGUAGGCGCGUCCGGCGAACCCGGCGAAGUGAAACAUCUCAGUAACCGGAGGAAAAGAAAUCAAUAGAGAU
rnacentral:rRNA from 1 species